AGUUACACGUUUUCCUCCAAGGAGCCUCGGACGUUGUCACGGGUUUGGGGUCGGGGACAGAGCGGUGACCAUGGCCAGGCUGGCGUUGUCUCCUGUGCCCAGCCACUGGAUGGUGGCGUUGCUGCUGCUGCUCUCAGCUGAGCCAGUACCAGCAGCCAGAUCAGAGGACCGGUACCGGAAUCCCAAAGGUCAGUAGCCUCGCCUGCCGCUUCUGAGGGCAAGUUGUGUGCGACUAUGUCCUGUGUCCGACUAUGGUCCCUGUCCUGGGGGCGGUCCGCCUUCCCACCCUUGCCUGAUCUCCCCAUCCAGGAUUCCCAUCCCCAGGCCUCCUUAGGAUCUCCUCUGAGCCCCACCCCCAGCCCACUGUCAUCCUCAUCAGACACAUGCCCUCCAGCCUUGGCCACUGAAGGGCUGGGCUAAACUCUGGGUCACAGCAAGGGAGCCUGGGGGUUCCUCUAGGACUCAGGCCCGGGCCUGUCUAGCUGGGAAUCUGGCUGAGUCUCGGGUGAGCCCUCCAGUGCAGGGUCACUAUGUGAGGGGCUCAGGGAUUCCCGGGCAGUGCU
rnacentral:sRNA from 1 species